AACGCGAAGAACCUUACCAAGGCUUGACAUAUACAGGAAUACGGCAGAGAUGUCGUAGCGGUUAAACGUCUGUAUACAGGUGGUGCAUGGUUGUCGUCAGCUCGUGUCGUGAGAUGUUGGGUUAAGUCCCGCAACGAGCGCAACCCUCGUUCUGUGUUGCCAGCAUUUAGUUGGGGACUCACAGGAGACUGCCGGGGUUAACUCGGAGGAAGGUGGGGAUGACGUCAAAUCAUCAUGCCCCUUAUGUCUUGGACAGCACGCAUGCUACAAUGGCUGGUACAAAGGGCUGCAAUACUGCAAAGUGGAGCGAAUCCCAAAAAGCCAGUCUCAGUUCGGAUUGGGGUCUGCAACUCGACCCCAUGAAGUCGGAGUUGCUAGUAAUCGUAGAUCAGCAACGCUACGGUGAAUACGUUCCCGGGUCUUGUACACACCGCCCGUCA
rnacentral:rRNA from 1 species